rnacentral:rRNA from 1 species
GAUGAACGCUAGCGGGAGGCCUAAUACAUGCAAGUCGAGCGGUAAGUUUCUUCGGAAACCUAGAGCGGCGCACGGGUGAGUAACGCGUACAUGACCUGCCUUUAAGACCGGGAUAGCCCUGGGAAACUGGGAUUAAUACCGGAUGUGAUAAUAGAUAUAAAGAUUUAUUAUUAAAGUUACGGCGCUUAGAGAUGGAUGUGCGUCUGAUUAGCUAGUUGGUAGGGUAACGGCCUACCAAGGCUACGAUCAGUAGGGGGCGUGAGAGCGUGGCCCCCACACGGGUACUGAGACACGGACCCGACUCCUACGGGAGGCAGCAGUAAGGAAUAUUGGUCAAUGGACGAAAGUCUGAACCAGCCAUCCCGCGUGCAGGAUGAAGGUCCUAUGGAUUGUAAACUGCUUUUAGCAGAGAAGAAAAGCAUUCAUUUAUGAGUGUCUGACGGUAUCUGCGGAAUAAGCACCGGCUAACUCCGUGCCAGCAGCCGCGGU